UACGUAGGAGGCAAGCGUUGUCCGGAAUUACUGGGCGUAAAGCGCGUGUAGGUGGUGGGACAAGUCUGCUGUGAAAGCGCCUGGCUUAACCGGGCGAGGUCGGCGGAAACUGUCCGACUCGAGGACGGUAGAGGGGGGUGGAAUUCCCGGUGUAGCGGUGAAAUGCGCAGAUAUCGGGAAGAACACCCGUGGCGAAGGCGGCUCUCUGGGACGGUACUGACGCUGAGACGCGAAAGCGUGGGGAGCGAACAGG
rnacentral:rRNA from 1 species